GGUCAAGUAAUCAAGAGCAUACGGUGGAUGCCUAGGUACGCAGAGGCGAUGAAGGACGUGGUUAACUGCGAUAAGCCUCGGGGAGCGGUAAGCACGCGUUGAUCCGGGGAUGUCCGAAUGGGGAAACCCACUAGGGGUCAUGCCCUAGUAGCACAGUCUGAAUCCAUAGGACCGUGUGGCCAACGAGGGGAACUGAAACAUCUUACUACCCUCAGGAAGAGAAAGCAACAGCGAUUCCCUAAGUAGCGGCGAGCGAACCGGGAACAGCCUAAACCACAUGGCUGGAAGCCUGCCAGCGUUGGCCAUGUGGGGUUGUGGGGCACAGGAUGGAGUUGUGGCAGUGGCUCCGAGGUAAUGCUCAAGAUAUAGACGAAGGCGGUUGGAAUACCCGACCAUAGAGGGUGAGAGUCCCGUAGUCGAAAUGUCUUGAUAACCUUGACUGUGUACCCGAGUACCGCGGGACCCGUGGAAACCUGUGGGAAGCAGGGAGGCCCACCUCCCAAGGCUAAAUACUCCUGCGUGACCGAUAGUGGACUAGUACCGUGAGGGAAAGGUGAAAAGCACGCCCGUUAGGCGAGUGAAAUAGACCCUGAAACUGUGUGCUUACAAGCGGUGGGAGCUCGGGUGCUGGCUAAGCCAGCAGUGAGUGACCGCGUGCCUUUUGCAUAAUGAGCCAAC
rnacentral:rRNA from 1 species